AGGAGGGAGGGAGGAGAAAAAUGUACCUAUCUGAAUUUUUUUUUUUUAAGUGUGAGACCAAAUUUAGGGAGACAAAAAGGAUUGCUAUAGUAGUCUAUAUGAGAGAAAUGACAGCUUAGUCUAGGGUGGUAGCAAUAGAUACAAGUGGACUAAUCAGUGGAACAAAAUUAUUGUGUAAAAUCAAUUGCUCUGGGAAAACUAGAAAAUGCAGUCCAAAGUAGGAGGUAACUCUGAUUUCUGUCCUGGUUAAGACAUUAACAGAUGUUACUCAUGUAGGUAGAAAAAAAAAUUCUCAAACAGAACUCACAAGACAGGUUUUGGACUUAAGGUUGAAAGGGCUCUGACACAAUGAAAAGGAGAUUCUGAAUGGGCAGUUAGAUAUUACAAGUCUAAAGGUAAAAGGGCUUCUCCACUUUUAAUACAUAAUCCUCUCAACAAAUCUAUGAGGCGAGCAUAACCUUCUGUAAUCCAUAAAUAAGAAAACAGCCUAAGUAAAUUCAGUAAGUAGCUUGACUAGAAUAUCUAGUACAGAUGGAGCUGAGCAAAGUCAAGAUGGCUGGGGAUAUGGCCUAGUGGCAAGAGUGCUUGCCUCGUAUACAUG